rnacentral:antisense_RNA from 1 species
CGAUGAUGAGUGGUGGGGAUAGGGUGGGACUCUAGACCCCCACUGCCAAGUCCUGUGCUCAACCGCUAGCCAUAAACAUUGCUAUGGACUGAGCACUCACAACGUGCCACACACGGCAUUGGGGAAUGUAUGUGCCCUGCCUCGCCAUUGCCCCACUGGAGCGAGUACUAUUAACCCCAUUUUACAGACAGGCAAAUAGGGCACAGAGAAGUUAUGCAACUUGCCCAAGAUCACACAGCCAGUGAGGGGCAAAGCUGGGAUUAGAACCCAGGGAGACCAACUCUUAUGCAUUGUGCUAGAAAUGAAUAAAUGAAGGAACCUCAGCUGCGAAAUCUCCAAGAGGAACAGUGACUCUGUAGAGGGCCUUACCACUCCCCGACACCCUCUCAGUAGGACAGGGCUGGAAGACAGGAGGAACUGAAGCCCCCUGAGGUGCAGACCCCAAGGGGCUGCUGCUGUGAAGGCCAAGGGUGGAUGGGAGAAGGGGCUGGGAAACAAGAGUCUUGUAGUAUGCUGCUGCCCAGUGGCUCCAGAGCCGAGGGGGUCUUGGUGCAGCUUGAUGUGGCAUCUGGGCCCAAUGCCCUCAAGUGCCACCAUCUCAGGCUGCGCUGCAGCAUCCGCUGCUGCAGGCCUUGGAAGAAGGAGCUAGAGAAGGGGCAGGGUCUGGCUCUGUGACCCAGGCUGGAGUGCAGUGGCACAAUCUUAGCUCACUGCAACCUCUGCCUCCUGGGUUCAAGCUAUUCUCCUGCCUCAGCCUCCUGAGUAGCUGGGAUUACAGGUGCGUGCCACCACAUCUGGCUAACCGAGCUAAGAGCAUUAGCUCUUAGCUAAUGCAGGACCUGCAUCACUGGCUGGCCUCAUCAUGCUCCUGGGGCGGGCUGGGAGCCCAUGCAGCUGAUCAGAGGUGGAGCUGAGCCCUAGGCCCAGGAACCCCAGACUCCAGAGCCCACCCCUACAACCACACCAGUACUUCUGCCUCCACUCACUUAUAAAGAUAAGAAAGCUGAGCCCGGGGGAAGGUCAUUUCCCCAAACUCCAAAUAGCAGCAGACCUGGAACUCAUCUAGGCCAGGAGGGUGCCCCGGGAGAGCUGCCAGGAGAUAUGAACUGUGCUCUGAAGUCCAAAGGCCAGAGGAUGGGCUGGAAAGGGAGGGCCUAGGGGUUGUGGGGCAGGCAUGUGAGCAGUGCCCCCACAUUCUGAAAGGUCACGGUGAAUUGAAUUCCCCUGGAGUUGCAGGGGUACACUGAAAGAGGCUGAGGGUCCAAGUGGACCACAUGGGUGUGUGGUUUUCAAGGACAGAAUUCUUUUUUUUUUUUUGAGAUGGAUUCUCGCUCUGUCGUCCAGGGUGCAGUGGCAUGAUCUUGGCUCACUGCAACCUCUGCUUCCUAGGUUCAAGCCAUUCUUCUGCCUCAGCCUCCCAAGUAGCUGGGAUUACAGGCGAGCGCCACCACGCCUGGCUAACUUUUGUAUUUUUAGUAGAGAUGGGGUUUCGCCAUGUUCACCAGGCUGGUCUCGAACUCCUGACCUCAGGUGAUCCACUAGCCUCAGCCUCUUAAAGUGCUGGGAUUACAGGUGUGAGCCACCGCACCCAGCCAAGGACAGCAUUCUUAACCCUGCAACUGCUGGCUUCCAUUCCUCCUGACAUCCCCUCCGGGAAGCUGGCUUCUCCUGAUCGCCACCCUCCCCUCAUUUACAGCCUUCGUCUGGGCUCUGAAUUCCAGCAGUGACCAUCUUGUGUGGGGGCAGCACCAAGGUCUCACCACAGGACCUUCUGGCUCCUGACUCUCACUGGGAUUUACAGCAAGCUGCUCCAGCCCUCUGAGCCUCAGUUUCUCUAGUCAUGUAAUGAGGCCAAUGGGAGAGGAGAUAAGAGCUUGAUCCCUGGC